UGGGGAAUCUUGCGCAAUGGGCGAAAGCCUGACGCAGCAACGCCGCGUGCGGGAUGACGGCCUUCGGGUUGUAAACCGCUUUCACCAGGGACGAAAAUGACGGUACCUGGAGAAGAAGCCCCGGCUAACUACGUGCCAGCAGCCGCGGUAAUACGUAGGGGGCGAGCGUUGUCCGGAUUUAUUGGGCGUAAAGAGCUCGUAGGCGGUUCCGUAAGUCGGGUGUGAAAAAUCUGGGCUCAACCCAGUGGAGCACCCGAUACUGCGGUGACUCGAGUCCGGUAGGGGAGUGUGGAAUUCCUGGUGUAGCGGUGAAAUGCGCAGAUAUCAGGAGGAACACCGACGGCGAAGGCAGCACUCUGGGCCGGUACUGACGCUGAGGAGCGAAAGCGUGGGGAGCAAACAGG
rnacentral:rRNA from 1 species